rnacentral:rRNA from 1 species
GUCUAUGGUCAUGCUACCCUGAAUAAAUUAGAUCCUGUCUGAUCUCAGAAGGCUAAGGCACGAUCGAGCUUGAUAGUACUUGGAUGGGAGACCACCCUAGCAAGACCGGUGCUGUAGACA